rnacentral:rRNA from 1 species
UAAAAUUUAAAGGAUUUUUACUUUAAUAUACUGAAACCUCGGAUCUAGUAAAUACUAGAUGGUAGCGGAACGUCUUGUUAGAAAAAAUAUAUAACGCAAAUUAUAUAGUUUAAAUCAAGAGUGAUUAUGCUGAUAUAAGUAACUACUAUUCUGUAUUUUUUAAUCAGAAUCAUUUAGUAUCUAAGGUUUUCUACGAAAAAAUUAAUUGCGUAGAGUAAGUCGGUCUCUUAGGAAAAGGCGAAUGCUUAAUCUGAUGGGAAAAUCUAUAAUUACCGUUUUAGCAAGUACUUUUUAAACACUACGUCGAACUUUUAUAAUUUUAGUAUCUAAUAGAUUGGUUUAUAAAAGAAAAAAGUUCCUGGAAAAAAUGUUAAAAUAGAUACGACCGUACCUUAAACUGACACAAGUAGAUUUGUUGAAUAGACUACAAUGAGUGAGUUAAUUGUAUUUAAGGAACUCGGCAAAUUUAUUCUGUACGUUCGCUAAAAAGAAUACCGUAAAGGUGACACUAAAAAAAGAAUAGCAACUGUUUCUCAAAAACACAGAACUCUGCUAAUUCGAAAAGAAAAUGUAUAGGGUUUGAUGCCUGCCAGGUGCUUAUCCGAAAAUUAAUUUAUUAUUUUAUUAAAUUUAUAAUCUUAAGUAAACGGCGGUCUUAACUAUAAGGAUCCUAAGGUAGCGAAAUUCCUU